GGGGGGGGGUUGUUCUCUAAGGUCCGGCCCAAUACAAGUGACAACUGUUUUUUGGGGUCGUGACAACCGACAAUUUGGAUGAUUUUUUCUCUCUCUUCGUCUUCAUCUUUACGAUCUUAUCUUAUUCUUUCUUUUUGAAAUCUCUGGCAUAGGAGUUAAAGCAGUUCUGCAGGGUUGUUGUUUGUUGCUUUGAUGCCUUCCACAAUGUCAGUCGAAUCAAAUUCGAUCACUUUUGAGACAAGAAGAAUGCGCGUUCGUUUUGAAUUAGAAAUCCCCGAAGUAUAUUUUUAUUAUAGAUUGAGGAACAUAUGCAGUUACACAUGGUAAGUAGAGAAGCUGAAGCAUAUACAUUGAUUCAACACUAAUACAUGUGUUUUUAGAUAAAGCAAGCAGCUUUCCUCUAAUACACCCCUUUCUGAUACUCGUGCUCACAGAAGAUUCCUCCAAGAUCGUCACAAGCCUCUCCUUGGAAAACCCUGCAAAUACAUAUUAAUACAGGUUAGUCAGCCUCCUGUACAAGUGAAAGAAAAAGUCAUUGCAGAGGUUGAAAUGAAUAACAAAUCUGGUCUUGAUCAAAUAUUACGUCUUUGCAUCUGUGUACUCGAGAUAUUCUCUGUCAACAUCCUCGGAACCGAUUUUGGCCGUACUGUUUCCGGCCUUUGGUUGGAGCCUUACUUCUGGGUAUAUGUCUGCCAAACAGGCUUCUCCACCAAUAGUUUCACAAGCCUCCGCUGGAAAUACACUGAAGAAGAAUAACUCUCAACAAUUAAGUUGGUGUGAAAGAAACCACUCGGUACCGUUGAUUUCCCACGUUUAGUUUUGUUAACAUCAAUACAUCCCAAACAUUAGACUAUAGAAUAAUAAUAAUAAUCGAAUGAAAAGGUUUGAUGAAAGUUGAAACUAAUGACUCACGAGUUUAUGGAACUGUAAUCAACUGUGGUAGUAUCAUUGGUAUUGGGAACGGGAUUAGCUUUGAUUGGGGCAAAGCGAGCACCCAGCGAGCUAGUUUUAGGAGGAAAACUGGUCAGAAGGGAAAAGUUCUUGGAGGGUGUCAAAUGGA